AAUUCUCUGGUAGUAUAUCGGUUAGUACACGCGCCUGUCAUUCCCUAUAUAUAAGACAUUUUGCGCGAAAGCUGGGUUCGACUCCCAGGUAAUUG